CAUUGUCGAAAUCUAACGGAAGAACGACCCGCGAAUUGUCAUUUCAUACAAAAGAGGGCUCGUGGGCAUACAAUGCUCGCGUGGCUCCGUUGUGUCGGCGCGGACGCACUCGUGUGCCGCGUUGUACCGACGGAAAGACAUUGUCAGCACGGAUCGUGCCAAGGAGCUGCAUGUUGAGAAUCGUUGUCCGCGCCUUUUGUUACCCUCGAUGCGGGACGGGAGGCGUGGACGCACGCGAUUUCUACUCAAGUCUAAAUGACUCUCGGCAACGGAUAUCUCGGCUCUUGCAUCGAUGAAGAACGUAGCGAAAUGCGAUACUUGGUGUGAAUUGCAGAAUCCCGCGAACCAUCAAUUCUUUGAACGCAAGUUGCGCCCGAAGCCAUUCGGCCGAGGGCACGCCUGCCUGGGUGUCGUGAAUCCCCUUGCCCCAGGGCUUCCAUUAUUCAUGCGUGCGCGCAUUGGUGGGAAAAACUCGGGCGCAGAAGGUGGUCUCCCGUGGGAUCGGCGCGUUGUGUGCCGAGGCGCGGUUGGCCGAAAAUAGAGCAUGGAGGUGUGGAGCACCACGGCGUUCGGUGGAUCAAAUGAGAUUGGCUGUGUCGUGGUCUCCGCAUGCGUCUUGCAAUGGGCUUCGACGWACCCCAGUGCGA
rnacentral:rRNA from 1 species